rnacentral:rRNA from 1 species
CAGCCGCCGCGGUAAUACGAAGGGGGCUGGCGUUGUUCGGAUUUACUGGGCGUAAAGCGCACGUAGGCGGAUCGAUCAGUCAGGGGUGAAAUCCCAGAGCUCAACUCUGGAACUGCCUUUGAUACUGUCGAUCUGGAGUAUGGAAGAGGUGAGUGGAAUUCCGAGUGUAGAGGUGAAAUUCGUAGAUAUUCGGAAGAACACCAGUGGCGAAGGCGGCUUACUGGCUCAUACUGGACGCUGAGGUGCGAAAGCGUGGGGAGCAAACAGGAUUAGAUACCCCUGUAGUCCCUGUCUCUUAUAC